UGUUCUCGUGAUAGUAAAUGAGUCUCAUGAGACCUGAUGAGUUUAUCAGGGGUUUCCGCUUUUGCCUCUUCCUCAUUUUCCCUUGCCACUCUCAUGUAAGAAGUGACUUUACCUCCCGCCAUGAUUCUGAGGACUUCUCCUGGCAUGUGGAACUGUAAGACCAAAUACAAGAGGAUUCACUCCAAAUUGUACACCACACUCAGGCAUGGGACUAAGAACGAUCUACAAUCAGAAAGUGAUUCAAAAGACUCUCAGCUAAGUGCUACAUAAUGAGCAACUCGUACUCCUCAACCAAACGGCACAGCAAGAAGACAGCCAUUGGUGAAACAGGAAGAAGACCUUCAUCAGAACCCAAUCUUUGUGGCACCCUAAUCUUGGACUUCCCAACCUCCAGAGUUAUGAGAAAUAAAUUUAUGUUGUUUAAG
rnacentral:lncRNA from 10 species